rnacentral:rRNA from 1 species
CCUACGGGAGGCAGCAGUGAGGAAUAUUGGUCAAUGGACGAAAGUCUGAAGCAGCCAAGUAGCGUGAAGGAUGACUGCCCUAUGGUUUGUAAACUUCUUUUAUAGGGGAAUAAAAUGUUCCACGUGUGGGAUUUUGUAUCUCCCAUAUUAAUAAGGAUCGACUAACUACGUGCCAGCAGCCGCGGUAAUACGGAGGACCCGAGCGUUAUCCGGAUUGAGUGGGUGUAAAGGGAGCGUAGGUGGAUUGUUAAGACAGUUGUGAAAGCUUGCGGCUCAACCGUAAAAUUGCAGUUGAAACUGGCAGUCUUGAGUACAGUAGAGGAGGGCGGAAUUCGUGGUGUAGCGGUGAAAUGCUUAGAUAUCACGAAGAACUCCGGUUGCGAAGGCAGUUCACUGGACUGAAACUGACACUGAGGCUCGAAAGCGUGGGGAUCAAACAGGAUUAGAUACCCGAGUAGUC